GAUGAACGCUGGCGGCGUGCCUAAUACAUGCAAGUCGAGCGAACAGACGAGGAGCUUGCUCCUCUGACGUUAGCGGCGGACGGGUGAGUAACACGUGGAUAACCUACCUAUAAGACUGGGAUAACUUCGGGAAACCGGAGCUAAUACCGGAUAAUAUAUUGAACCGCAUGGUUCAAUAGUGAAAGACGGUUUUGCUGUCACUUAUAGAUGGAUCCGCGCCGCAUUAGCUAGUUGGUAAGGUAACGGCUUACCAAGGCAACGAUGCGUAGCCGACCUGAGAGGGGGAGCGGCCCCCAGGGAGCGGAGCACCGGCCCAGCACCCAAGGGGGGGCAGGAGUAGGGAAUCUCCCGCAAGGGGGGAAAGCCGGACGAGGCAACGCGGCGGGAGGAAGGAAGGUCUUGGGAUCGUAAAACCCUUUUAUUGGGGAAAAAAAAAUGGGUAAUUAACAAGCCCCGUUUGAACGGAACCUAAAAAGAAAGCCCCGCCUAACUCGGG
rnacentral:rRNA from 1 species